AGUUUAUUUCUUAACUUUUCCCCCUCCUUAAUCUGCUCUUUUCCCAUAAAUGAUCCAUUAAUAAACUGAGAUAUGGUAUCACCAAGCAAUGGCAAUUUCUUUAUGGGCAUUACCAAUAUCCCUUGUUUUAUUCCCAUAACAUGGUAUCUUAGACCUUGUGGUUUCUUUCCUUUUUGUGUUACACACCUUCCCACUUUCGCCCAACUCAUGUAGUCUAAUAUACUGUGGCCACUUAUCCCAUAUGACAAAAACUACAUACAGGGUCCUUCUAUAUAACUGUAUUCCCUAAUAAGUUUUUUUCCACUGUGCAAUCUCUGAUACACUUGUAUUGAUUGCGUUACCAUUUUAUUUUUUUCGGUUAUCUUUUUAUGCUCAAAAACAUGCAUUUAAAUUGCAGUGGGGGGUGGGGGAGAAUUACUCUUAAGCAUCAUCUACAUCUGUAGAGUACAACCUUGGAUACAGCAAGUCUCAGAAAUCAUAUUCCCACAAUUCUUCUAGUAUUGCCAGCUUAACAUGCAAAUGAUCAGAAAGGCAUGUUUCAGACUUUAUCAUACAUUUCUCCAGGCAUUCAGUGCCUUGUUAUGGAUAUGUGAAUUCUCUGAAUUACUGUGCACGAGGUGAAUUUUUCCCCAAAAUCCUACUUAAGAUUGUAGAUAAUGUAGAACAGAAAAUGUUGAAUUUGCAUAAAGAAAUGGGACGUGGUCUUGCCACACUUUUAUUUAGCCUAUAUUUUGACUAUAUGUGCCUUUUUUUGUAAUUUUUUUUUUUUUGAAAAUUCCUUUUUCCUCAAAAUAUG